GGGCAGGGGCAGCCAGGGAGCAGCAGAAUACCCCAGAGUCACUCCUGCUGGAGCCAUGCAGUGGACCUACCCCCUCUUCUACCUCGCCAUCUUCUGUGCAGGGGUCUCGUUGGAUAUAAUUUUGGAAUCAGACACCCAAACUCUGACGGUUCUAGCUGGGGAGACUACCACCUUCCACUGCCAUGUAACAGGAGCGGACGUGAAAAAUUAUCAAAUGAUCUGGUAUAAGAAGCAUGAAGAUAACUCACUGACUUUAGUAUAUAGACCAAGCAACAACUCUAAUGACCAUUUAAGAAGUAAUAUCAAAGGGAAAAUUGAUGUUUUGAACAGUCAAUAUAUACUGGACAUUCAAGAAACAACAACAAAAGACGUUGGGACUUACUACUGUGGGUCCGUUAUCCACAGUGCUGCUCUUCUGCUUCUGACCACCUCAGAACCCACAGGGUCAGACUGGGGUGGCAGAUCCAAUUAG